UACGUAGGGUGCAAGCGUUGUCCGGAAUUAUUGGGCGUAAAGAGCUCGUAGGCGGUCUGUCGCGUCGGCUGUGAAAUCCCGAGGCUCAACCUCGGGUCUGCAGUCGAUACGGGCAAACUAGAGUAUUGCAGGGGAGACUGGAAUUCCUGGUGUAGCGGUGAGAUGCGCAGAUAUCAGGAGGAACACCGGUGGCGAAGGCGGGUCUCUGGGCAAUAACUGACGCUGAGGAGCGAAAGCGUGGGGAGCGAACAGG
rnacentral:rRNA from 1 species